rnacentral:rRNA from 1 species
UACGAAGGGUGCAAACGUUGCUCGGAAUCAUUGGGCGUAAAGCGCACGUAGGCGGCUUCGCAAGUCGGAUGUGAAAUCCCUCGGCUCAACCGAGGACGUGCAUACGAAACUGCGAAGCUUGAGUACUGAAGAGGAUCGCGGAAUUUCCGGUGUAGCGGUGAAAUGCGUAGAUAUCGGAAGGAACACCAGUGGCGAAAGCGGCUUCCUGGUCCAGCACCGACGUUCAGGCACGAAAGCGUGGGGAGCAAACGGG